UUGGUGUGUGGGCUCGUCGGUGUAAGCUCACAACCCCAACUCUCCCAAGUAUUCCCUCUCCAGAACUGUCAACCUCUCUCCCCGUUGGGCCAAGGGAGGUAUUUAUAGCCUUCACCUGUUGUUAUUGGGCCUCGUGGGCUUGUACGGUCAGCCCCGUUCGUCCACUCGUCCGCCCGCCCGUCCGUCCGCCUGGGCCGUCCGGUCCGGUUCGGUCCAUGGGCCGCGGUCCGCGGUCCAUGGUACCAACAGUACUCCCCCCUUC
rnacentral:lncRNA from 1 species